rnacentral:rRNA from 1 species
CCUACGGGCGGCAGCAGUGGGGAAUAUUGCACAAUGGGGGAAACCCUGAUGCAGCAACGCCGCGUGAAGGAAGACGGUUCUCGGAUUGUAAACCUCUGUUUUUAGUGAAGUAUAAUGACGGUCGCUAAGGAGCAAGCCACGGCUAACUACGUGCCAGCAGCCGCGGUAAUACGUAGGUGGCAAGCGUUGUCCGGAGUUACUGGGUGUAAAGGGAGCGCAGGAGGGAAGACAAGUCAGCUGUGAAAACUACGGGCUUAACUUGUAGACUGCAGUUGAAACUGGCUUUUUUGAGUGAAGUAGAGGUUGGCGGAAUUCCGGGUGUAGCGGUGAAAUGCGUAGAUAUUCCGAGGAACACCGGUUGCGAAGGCGGCCAACUGGGCUUUAACUGACGCUGAGGCUCGAAAGUGUGGGGAUCAAACAGGAUUAGAUACCCCUGUAGUC